AAGUUGUGCUGAAGCAAAUGUAGCUUAAAGUUUACCUGUGACUAGGCUAUGCACAUGAAACUAUUUACACAUUAAACAAGCAGGGAAAUAAAUUACA